ACACUGCCCAGACGUCUACGGACGGCUGCAGUCGAGAAUCUUCCGCAAUGGACGAAAGUCUGACGGAGCGACGCCGCGUGCGGGAUGAAGGCCUUCGGGUUGUAAACCGCUGUCAGUUGGGAGGAAAUGCCAUGGGGUUCUCCCUGUGGUUUGACCGAUCUUCAGAGGAAGUACGGGCUAAGUUCGUGCCAGCAGCCGCGGUAAUACGAACCGUACGAACGUUAUUCGGAAUCACUGGGCUUAAAGAGUCCGUAGGCGGCUUGAAAGGUGAGGUGUGAAAUCCCACGGCUUAACCGUGGAACUGCGCUUCAAACCACCAAGCUAGAGGAAGAUAGAGGAAAGCGGAACUGAUGGUGGAGCGGUGAAAUGCGUUGAUAUCAUCAGGAACACCGGUGGCGAAAGCGGCUUUCUGGGUCUUUUCUGACGCUGAGGGACGAAAGCUAGGGGAGCGAACGGGAUUAGAUACCCCGGUAGUCCUAGCUGUAAACGAUGAGCACUAGUUCGAGGGGACCCCCACAUCCUCUUGGACGUAGCGAAAGUGUUAAGUGCUCCGCCUGGGGAGUAUGGUCGCAAGGCUGAAACUUAAAGGAAUUGACGG
rnacentral:rRNA from 1 species